rnacentral:lncRNA from 1 species
AUGAGGAAAUGGAGAAAAAAGAAAUUAAGUGACUUGCCCAAGGUCAUCCAUCUAGAGACUCUUUUUCUCAUGGCUGAUCUGUCUUUGCCACUGUUUCUGAUACGACUCCUUUAGAAGCCAAUAAUU